GAUGAAGAACGUAGCGAAAUGCGAUACUUGGUGUGAAUUGCAGAAUCCCGUGAACCAUCGAGUUUUUGAACGCAAGUUGCGCCCGAAGCCAUUAGGCCGAGGGCACGCCUGCCUGGGCGUCACACGUCGUUGCCCCCCCAUCUACUCCUUCGGGAUUGCGGGGGGCGGAUGAUGGCCUCUCGUGCGCCUCGUCGCGCGGUUGGCCUAAAUGCCAAGUCCUCGGCGACGCACGCCACGACAAUCGGUGGUUGCGAAACCUCGGUUGCCUGUCGUGUGCGGUCGUCGCGCAUCGAGGGCUCGAAAAAAUUGCCGGGUUCCGGCUCGGCUUUCAACGCGACCCCAGGUCAGGCGGGGUUACCCGCUGAAUUUAAGCAUAUCAAUAAGCGGAGGA
rnacentral:misc_RNA from 1 species